GCCUGACUGACCCGCAGAGUCCAGCUCCGCAGGGGCGAAGGGAGCAAGGGGAGGAGAAGACAAGGCGGGCGGGCCGCGCCCGGCUGGGGCUGGGGGAGGCGACAGGAGAGCCUCCCGUUGUCCCGGAGCCAGCGGGCUGGGGGGCCAGCGCUGUGGCCCAGCGCCCUUCUCUUCCCACCGGCUCUCCGAUGUUUCCAUGAGCUUUAAAAUAUUCUGCGACACUAUCAUUUUGUCACGGAACCCUUGAAGUCCUUCUGUAACGACGACGCCCAGCCUUUGUAGCAGACUGCUGACAGCAGCGCUUCCACUCCUGAGGCAGGCAGGGCGUUUCCCUGGGCCGGGGCAGCAGGGCGUCUCCCUUCUGCAGCCGGGGCAGGGAAGGCCAAGCGCGACCCCUGUUAUCCGCAACGCAGUGCCAGGGUUGGUCUGAGGAUUUAAUGAAAUAAGGCUGCGCACAUUCCUUCCUGGUCCAUGAUCGGCUGUCAACUUAUGUUAGCUCUUCUCCCUCCUCUGCCCAAGAUGUCUCUGGGAACGCCUGGGAAGCACUCUUACCCUUCACCAUUGGCACCGACUCCAAGUGACCAGGCCUUAACAUAGCGGCAAAGGAGAAACUGCAGGAAUGAGCGAGAGCACUAGACUUCAUUUAUAGCCCUUACUGUGUCCGCAUGGGAAAGACAAACGAGCUGGGCAGUGGACAGUGGGUGCCAUUUCCGGAUCAUUAAUUAGCAAGUUGCUCAGCCUUGGCAGGAAAUUGUUCAUCAUUUUCAGAUGAGUAGAGAAUUGAAGAACCUUCUAACUGUCCUCCCUCACUCUGCGCCAGCAUGGCAGAUGCAAUUUUUCUCACCAAGCUUUCCCUCCCACAGUGCCUUAUCAAGAUAAGUGACCUUAGACGACAGUUGCCAAGUGAUCUGCUGAAUCCAAGAGCCCUAAACUCGGAAGGGGGCCGGGCCAGGGCCAGGGCCAAAGGCUUCCAGGGCUGGAAAGCCAGGCCGGAAACCCCAAAAGAUAAAUGAAGACUUCUGGAACAAGAUGAGAAGACGAAUAAACUGUUUGCUUUGAGCAUGGACAUGAUGUUCCAGAAAAAUCCACUUUGGCUGCCAAAGUAAUGCUUUUGGAAUUCAGGAAGAACCCCUCCUCACCAGGACUCCCACAUACAGGCUUAGUGCUCAGGUCUUGCAUACAGUGUUUCAUAGCAAUCACUGAGUUGAGUUCAUUGCGCAGCAGAGGAACUUGAGGCCCAGAAAGCAAAAGUUAUUGCCUAAAUUAAAAUAUAUAGUAAGAGGCUGACUUUGAUUCCAAAGCAACAUCUGUCUGGUCCCAAAGGUCAGGCCUGCUUUAUUACCCCAUUGUGUGUCCCUCAGCAGGGUGACAGGUCACCAUGGACAGGACAGCCACUGGCCAAUAGCGUCUUCAACAUGGAUUGUCUGCUGCAUUCAGAGGGACUUGGUGCUGAAUAGUCCAGUCGUGCCUAUUCGUCAUUGCAGAGGCCCCUUUCCAGCGUGUCGGCCGGCCCUGGGCCGAAACAGGUCAGCGGAAGCCCCCGCAGCCAGCGAUCGACUCCUUCAGGAGCCUUCGCUGCUUCCUGCCACGUGGGUCUCCCCGCAGAGCGGCACCCUCAGUGACAGCCAGAGCUGGCCCCACGCCCGCGGGGAAGGGACUGCCCGGGCACUUUCUAACGGCACAGCUGCAGGUCGCUUAUAGCCGGGGAGCUCCCUGACUUUGCCAGGAAGGAAAGAAAAGAAGAAAAAAAACACGUAGUAUGUGUGAUACUGGUAAACAGAAAUGAAUAAGGAAAUUCUGAAGGCCCAGAAGGAUCAAGGGGGACGAGCGGCACAGAGCCCACCUGCGCUCAGUGGGGGCUCCGACUCCUGAGUCCUCAAGGCAUGUGCGUCUCCGAGAUGGAGUGGGGUCAGGGCGCGGCCCAGGUGGUCACCCCCGGUGCAGGGGAGGCUCUUGCCCGAGCUGUCUGAAGAACAGGAGCACCUCGCGACGUCACAGUGGGUGCAUGCUGCUGCUUUCUCACUCUUGCCACUAAGCACCUGUGACAGACCCCGGGCCUGGUGACUGGCAAGUGCCUUCCCAGCCAGAGCUGGCCGACGGUACUGAACACCCACGAUCCUCUCCAGGAUCUAUGUCAUGUGCUGCAGUUCUGACAGGACCACGCUGGCCGAUAUGCUGAAAAUACUUGGAAAGGCAGCCAGUGUGGAAGCAGAGGAGAGUAAGAGGCUCUUACAAUGGUCCGGGAGAGAGAUGAUGGUGGCUGGGACCCGAGGGUGUUGGUGGAGGUGGACAGAUGUGGAAGAACUCUGCAUAUAUGUUGCCAAAAAGCCAGGAGGCUUUCUGCUAUGGUUCGGACACGUGACUCCUCCAAAGCUCACGUGGAAACGUGGUCCUGGUGCUGUAGGUGGGCUGUGGGGCAGCCCCCCACGCGCGGCUGGGCGCCUUCCUCGCCACCGUGGGUUCUGGCUGUGUUGGUUCCCUCCAGAGCUGAUGCUUCAAAGAGCCCGGUGCCUCCCCUCGCGCUUCCCCCCUCGCUGUGCGACCUGCACACGCCAGCGCCCUCCACCAUGAGCAGAAGCUUCCCGAGGCCCUCGCGGAGCAAGUGUCGGCCGUGUGUCUUGUGCAGCCUGCAGGGCGGUGAGCCAAGACAUUCUUUUCAUUAUAAAUUACCCAGCCUCAGGGAUUCCCUUACGGCGACACAAAUGGACCGGGGCACGUUCUGAGAAGUGAGAUGUGCUGUGAGAGGAACAGAGGAGUCAAAGAUGGCUCCAGGGCUUUUGAUCUAAGUAACUGGAAAAAUGGGGUUACCACUUAUGGAAAAAUGGGAAGCCUGUGGGUGGGGGGUUAUGCUGGACCCCAAGGUAUGCUGAGUUUGCACUUUCUGCAUGAUGCCACAUUUCUCUCCAGAGUGGUUAUUUAAAUUAGAAUUCCACCGGCACGGCAUGAACAUUUCUGACUCCCAUAUUCCACCUCAGGCAUGGCUAGACUAAUGGGCACCUGCGUACUUUUCUGGUUAUCAGCAAGACUGAAUGCCGUCCAUGUGUUUGCUGAUUUUGGGUUUCUUCUUCUUUGCACUGACUAUUCAUAUCCUUUGUUCGCAUUUUCCAUUGGCUUGUCUUUUUCUUCU